UUUGGGAAAAAGGCACGCACCUCAUCAGUGGGGUUGUGACAGCCCUGAAACACCUAAAAGACAAAGCAUUUCAUUACACAAUUUGGGAUUCUGUAACACAAUUUUUCAGUUAAAGCCCAAAUGCUUUUGUCCAUAUUUUGUAGCUAACAACUAACCAACACUCUUUUGCUCUUUUACAGCUUUUCAAAUGUAAGGGAGUGGGACUCGUCUUCCCAGAUGGCAGGGAGAUUUGUAUUUUCCCCUUGGCUGAGUGCUGGAGCGAAGCACGACAGUCUUCGCCACACAGUCCUCGUGCACAUCGCCACACAUCGGCGCCAUGACACUCUAAUGAUAUUGGGAUGGCUGCUGGUGUACAAGAAUAGAUGAAUCCAACGGGAGUGAAGGCUCCGCCCCCUGGAUGUAACUGCAGACGGCUGAGACCCUCACCACCCAAUCGCACUUCAACACACACACACCCACACACGCGCAUCCACACUCCCCUCACCGACCAUCUUAAAUAAAGAUCCCUCCACGAACAACACUAAAAAGGCCUCCUGUGUGUCUGUGCUCUGCCCACCGUGGGCUAAAUUCCCUACACCGUCUAUACAUUAACUAGACCCGAGGAGCAAAACAUGAAAACAAACAUGUAACCUACAAUACUGCGUGAAGUGCUCAGCAACACGAGGGCUUUAAAUAACUAAAGACAUUUACCUUAAAUGCCUACAGCUGGUAACAAUUGAACAAACACCUUCGCACCUCCGCCAAUAACUAAACAGGGAGGGGACAGAACAAAAACCAAAACAAGUGCACAUGUCCACUGUAAACAAAGUCCUAUCAAUCAUUGCGCACUUAAAACACGUGCACACGCGCUCUCCAUGCAUGUCGUCGCCGCAGUUCCAUCUGCCGGCGAGAUCGUGACAGAACCCUCCUC